rnacentral:rRNA from 1 species
AGUGGCAGACGGGUGAGUAACGCGUGGGAACGUACCUUUUGGUUCGGAACAACUGAGGGAAACUUCAGCUAAUACCGGAUAAGCCCUUACGGGGAAAGAUUUAUCGCCGAAAGAUCGGCCCGCGUCUGAUUAGCUAGUUGGUGAGGUAAUGGCUCACCAAGGCGACGAUCAGUAGCUGGUCUGAGAGGAUGAUCAGCCACAUUGGGACUGAGACACGGCCCAAAUUUAUACGGGAGGCAGCAGUGGGGAAUAUUGGACAAUGGGGGCAACCCUGAUCCAGCCAUGCCGCGUGAGUGAUGAAGGCCCUAGGGUUGUAAAGCUCUUUUGUGCGGGAAGAUAAUGACGGUACCGCAAGAAUAAGCCCCGGCUAACUUCGUGCCAGCAGCCGCGGUAAUACGAAGGGGGCUAGCGUUGCUCGGAAUCACUGGGCGUAAAGGGUGCGUAGGCGGGUUUCUAAGUCAGAGGUGAAAGCCUGGAGCUCAACUCCAGAACUGCCUUUGAUACUGGAAGUCUUGAGUAUGGCAGAGGUGAGUGGAACUGCGAGUGUAGAGGUGAAAUUCGUAGAUAUUCGCAAGAACACCAGUGGCGAAGGCGGCUCACUGGGCCAUUACUGACGCUGAGGCACGAAAGCGUGGGGAGCAAACAGGAUUAGAUACCCUGGUAGUCCACGCCGUAAACG